CCAGGUGGCCAAAUAGCGAAGGGGAAACACCCGGUCCCAUUCCGAACCCGGCAGUUAAGCCCUUCUGCGCCGAUGGUACUAGGUCCGCGAAGGCCUGGAAGAGUAGGUCGCUGCCUGGU
rnacentral:rRNA from 1 species